UAAUACGUAGGGGGCUAGCGUUGUCCGGAUUUAUUGGGCGUAAAGAGCGUGUAGGCGGCCAGGUAGGUCUGCUGUGAAAACUCGAGGCUCAACCUCGAGACGUCGGCGGAAACCAUCUGGCUAGAGUCCGGAAGAGGAGAGUGGAAUUCCUGGUGUAGCGGUGAAAUGCGCAGAUAUCAGGAAGAACACCCGUGGCGAAGGCGGCUCUCUGGGACGGUACUGACGCUGAGACGCGAAAGCGUGGGGAGCGAACAGGAUUAGAUACCCUGGUAGUCCACGCCGUAAACGAUGGGUGCUAGGUGUGGGCGGUGUCGACUCCGUCCGUGCCGAAGCUAACGCAUUAAGCACCCCGCCUGGGGAGUACGGCCGCAAGGCUA
rnacentral:rRNA from 1 species